rnacentral:rRNA from 1 species
GAUGAACGCUGGCGGCGUGCCUAAUACAUGCAAGUCGAGCGAACAGACGAGGAGCUUGCUCCUCUGACGUUAGCGGCGGACGGGUGAGUAACACGUGGAUAACCUACCUAUAAGACUGGGAUAACUUCGGGAAACCGGAGCUAAUACCGGAUAAUAUAUUGAACCGCAUGGUUCAAUAGUGAAAGACGGUUUUGCUGUCACUUAUAGAUGGAUCCGCGCCGCAUUAGCUAGUUGGUAAGGUAACGGCUUACCAAGGCAACGAUGCGUAGCCGACCUGAGAGGGUGAUCGGCCACACUGGAACUGAGACACGGUCCAGACUCCUACGGGAGGCAGCAGUAGGGAAUCUUCCGCGAUGGGCGAAAGCCUGACGGAGCAACGCCGCGUGAGUGAUGAAGGUCUUCGGAUCGUAAAACUCUGUUAUUAGGGAAGAACAAAUGUGUAAGUAACUAUGCACGUCUUGACGGUACCUAAUCAGAAAGCCACGGCUAGCUACGUG